AGUUGACCCAACUUGAUUAGAACUCUUCUAAUCGAUUUAAGUCCAAACUGCGCGAACUCGAACUUAACAAUUAGAAUCCUUUCUAAUUGGUGAUUGAAUUAAACUCUUUAAUUCGAUCAAAUCUAUAAGACAAGAUUGACGUCUAGUAACGUAUCAUGUCUACCUGAAAAUAUGGAAUUUGGUGGAAAUACCAAAAAUACCCUUCAGUGGCAAGUUACCAUGCAAUUCAAUCCUUUAAUCAAACUGC
rnacentral:lncRNA from 1 species